UACGGAGGGUGCAAGCGUUAUCCGGAUUUACUGGGUUUAAAGGGUGCGUAGGCGGUACAGUAAGUCAGAGGUGAAAGAUUGUCGCUUAACGAUGAAAUUGCCUUUGAUACUGCUAUACUUGAAUCAGAAUGAGGUUGGCGGAAUGUGACAUGUAGCGGUGAAAUGCUUAGAUAUGUCAUGGAACACCGAUUGCGAAGGCAGCUGACUGGCACUUGAUUGACGCUGAGGCACGAAAGCGUGGGGAGCAAACAGG
rnacentral:rRNA from 1 species